rnacentral:lncRNA from 1 species
AAACCCCAUGAGGGCCCUCCUUAAUGACAGACUAUCGAUUUAUAUAGGGAUAAAACUACAUUUGUAAAAACAAAGCUAUUAACCCAUUCCGAAACAGCUCGGAUGAAUUCAAGUAAUUUGUUAAAAUACAUUAGAGUGUUUUACACGUGUUCGUUAUCAAAUUGGAUUUUACAGCAUCUAAUAUUGAUAUCGAUGUGAUAAAACGCUCAGAAAACCGCGAUGUUAUGGACCAAAAGCGAGAUAUGCAAAUAUUGAUUGUUUCACUAAUUUUAACAAGAAAUAUUGACUUGCUAGAUUAUUACUGAACUUUAUAGUCCACGAGGAUUGCAUGUUACCCUUCUGCUAGCGUCAUUAAAUCCUACAAUAAAAGAUUAAUGAGUUCUAUGUCUAUUUAAACAUGUAAUAAGGCAGCAACCAUUUGAUUUUCUGGGGGGGGGGCUAUGUUUUUUUUGGAAAAAAAGUUGUUUCAGGUUUUUGGUGAAAAAAAUAAUUUGUUUGGACUGAGUAAAAAAAAUUGUUUGUUCACCUCAGCUGCCACUAUAUGUAAUGCUAAAAUUAAAAGAAAAAAAUUGUCUUUUGUCGUAAAAAAAUAGAUUGUUCUUCGCCGAAGGCGAAAAAAAAAGUUUGCACAGAAAAAAAAACCAUAGCCCCCCCCCAGAAAAUCAAAUGGUUGCUGCCUAAGGCAACAAUUCAGAAGAGUGCACUGUUAGAAAUUCCGUGUUUUUGCUGACAAGCGUUUUCCAAGACAAAUAUAGACAUUUUUACAAGUAAAGUUGAUAUCUCACUCUCUGAAAGUGUGUAUGAAACGAGACUUUGGAAAAACGUCACACAGACAUCAACACACAUUGUCACAUAUCAUGCAUGCAUCUAUAGGUUUCUGCAAUACGCAAAAAUAAAAAGGUGUCUACUCUACAUGCAGGACUGUAGUUAGACUCAUAUUGCAAUUAUAAAAUAAUAUCAAAGUAAGAUUUUACAGAAUAUCGUAGAUAUGUCUUAAAUAGGAAAUUUGAAAUAUCAUGGCCGUAACUAGCCUCAUUUUAAAGUGACUAUAUACGUCAAUGAGACUGCAACCUAAUGAAAAAACUUCAAAAUGUUUUCAAAAUGUAUUCUAAAAAUAGCAGUUUCUAAACUACUUAAACAAAUUUCAAAUUCAAAUCAGCCUAGCUUAAAUUGAUAGCACAUUCUUAUUUCGAAGGUCUGCAUAGUUGGUUGACUGUAUAAUUCUUCCGUUAGCCGUACUCGUCGCUUGCUAUUUCAGAAGGGAUAACAUUAUAUGAACAUUGACAUUUGUUUUUAUCAAAGUUUUUAUUAUUACAUUUACCCUAACGCAUUUUUGGUAAAACAAGACAAACAUUGAAAAUAAUGUUUUCAGGGUUUACAGGGAAUGUAAGGUUUUCCACUACUAUAGCCAAGAAUAC